rnacentral:tRNA from 1 species
UGUGGCUCAGUGGUAGAGUAUGUGCCUCAAAUGCAUAAAGUCCUGGGUUCAAGCCUGAGCA